rnacentral:rRNA from 1 species
AUGGCGCCGCCGCAGCACGCCCCCCGCCGCCCCUACAAGCGCCCGGCCAUCUCCGACCAGCAGCGCCGCCGCGACUCCGCCCUCCAGACCCAGUCCGCCCGCCGCGCCGACGCCCAGGCGCGCGCGCGCAGCCUCGCCAACUCCCUGCUCUCUCCCCAACCCUCCUCCCCCGCCGCCGCCGACCAACCCCCGCCCUCCCCCGACGCCCCCGACGAACGCGGACAUGAUCCCACCGUCGCCGACGUCGCCUCGGCCGCAGCCAAGCUCCGCGGCCCCGACCAGCGCCGCUGGUUCGCCCGCCAGAUCAUGCUCCCGGAGUGGAUGGUCGACGCCCCUCCCCACCUCGCCCGCGACUGGCAUGUUUCUGCCAGACCCGCUGGCAAACGAUGCAUGGUCGUGUCGUCGAACGGCAUCACGAUUAGCAGGCUCCGUAACGGAACCAUUCUUCACCGGUUCCCCUCCGCCUUACCCAACGGGUCCAAGAAAGGACUCUCUGGUCCUGCAAGCUCCUACUCUAUCCUUGACUGCAUAUUCCAUGAGCCUGAUGAGACGUACUACAUCGUUGAUAUGAUUUGUUGGCGAGGCUAUUCGCUCUAUGAUUGCACUGCUGAGUUCAGAUUUUUCUGGGUGAACUCCAAGCUUACGGAGACUUCUGCUGGCGAUCCUCCAUCGACAUACCAUCGGUAUAGAUUCAGUGCUGUUCCUAUGUAUGAGUCCACGCUUGAUGGCCUUCAGGCAGCAUAUUCGGGAAGCACACCUUAUGUUAAAGAUGGCUUGCUGUUCUAUAACAAGCAUGCACAUUAUCAAGCUGGAAUCACACCCCUUACGCUAGUAUGGAAAGACGAGACUUGCAGCCAAUAUCUUCUUGAUACGGAUAGUGAGGGACAAGUUCCAACUGAGCAACACGUUGUGUUGGAGCUGCAAGAGGAUGGAAAGCUAGUUACUUCUGAUGAUCCUCCAAUUGCAUUUGGUAGCUUGGACAACGAACUUAUCCAGAAGUCAAACCUGCGGCCUGGGAACCUUCUUCGCUUCAGUGUAAGAGAUGAAAGUGUGAAACUUGUGGAUGGGAAGAUGGAGAUUGGUCAGCUGCAACUUGCCGGGAAGCUGAACCGUUCUCGUACUUCCGCUGACAGCCACUCCAAAGUUUUGUUCCAGUAUGCUGCCAGGCAUGCUCCUCUGAGAAUUGAGGAUCUGGUAGCCUCUGUUCAAUCAAACAGUAUGGAGAUUGAAUCCACAGAUGUUGAAAUGCAAGGUUGA